rnacentral:rRNA from 1 species
UACAGAGGUCCCAAGCGUUGUUCGGAUUUAUUGGGCGUAAAGGGUGCGUAGGCGGCAGUGUAAGUUGGACGUGAAAUCCUGGGGCUCAACCUCAGAAUUGCGUUCAAUACUGCAUUGCUAGGGCGCUGUAGAGGAGAUUGGAAUUUACGGUGUAGCAGUGAAAUGCGUAGAUAUCGUAAGGAAGACCAGUGGCGAAAGCGAAUCUCUGGGCAGCAGCCGACGCUGAGGCACGAAGGCCAGGGGAGCAAAC